CAGUGGAGGAAGGAUCCACCCAGAUAGUUGUCGAUAGAUCUGGUAGCUGACGAGCGAUUUCGCUGGGUAACUGGCGGUGUCGAAGCCUCGUGACAAAGGCCGCCAAGGGCAGUUGAGCAAUCCAGCGGGCCGUAACGUGA
rnacentral:ncRNA from 1 species